rnacentral:rRNA from 1 species
AUUGAACGCUGGCGGUAUGCCUUACACAUGCAAGUCGAACGGUAGAGGGGCAACCCUUGAGAGUGGCGAACGGGUGAGUAAUACAUCGGAACGUGCCCAGUCGUGGGGGAUAACGUAGCGAAAGCUACGCUAAUACCGCAUACGACCUGAGGGUGAAAGCGGGGGAUCGCAAGAACUCGCGCGAUAUGAGCGGCCGAUGGCAGAAUAGGUACUUGGUGGGGUAAAGGCCUACCAAGCCUGCGAUCUGUAGCUGGUCUGAGAGGACGACCAGCCACACGGGGACCGAGCCAAGGCCCAGACUCUUACGGCAGGCAGCCGUGGGGAAUUGUGCACAAUGAGCGCAAGCAUGAUCCAGCCAUACCGCGUGCGCGAAGAGGGCCUUCGGGUUGUAAACCGCUUUUGUCAGUGAAGAAAUCUUCUGGGCUAAUACCUCGAGAGGAUGACGGUACCUGAAGAAUAAGCACCGGCUAACUACGUGCCAGCCGCCGCCGUAACAC